rnacentral:sRNA from 1 species
CACACGCGAGACAUUUGCGCCAUGCGGAUGAAAAGCCCCGCAUCGUGCUCCGGUGGAGAAAUGAUAAGCCCAUAAAAAGGCUUGCAAAUCUCUUCUCAAGUCUCGCGGAGGUCUAACCGGAAAAGGAAACGU